UACGUAGGUGGCAAGCGUUGUCCGGAUUUAUUGGGUUUAAAGGGUGCGUAGGCGGCUUUGUAAGUCAGUGGUGAAAUAUGGCAGCUCAACUGUCAGGGUGCCAUUGAUACUGCAGAGCUUGAGUACAGAUGAGGUAGGCGGAAUUGACGGUGUAGCGGUGAAAUGCUUAGAUAUCGUCAAGAACACCGAUAGCGAAGGCAGCUUACUGGGCUGUAACUGACGCUGAGGCACGAAAAGUGUGGGGGAUCAAAACAGG
rnacentral:rRNA from 1 species